CCAGAGACUAGAGUCUCAUCUUGACAUGACUCGUUGUCUUGGUGUGCUAGAGUCCUCUCAGAGUGAAGACUGGUCCUAUUCACCGACUGGCUCUGUGUAGACCAGUCAGCCACAUGGACAGUUACACAC